rnacentral:rRNA from 1 species
AGAGUUUGAUCCUGGCUCAGGACGAACGCUGGCGGCGUGCUUAACACAUGCAAGUCGAACGGAAAGGCCCUUCGGGGUACUCGAGUGGCGAACGGGUGAGUAACACGUGGGUGAUCUGCCCUGCACUUUGGGAUAAGCCUGGGAAACUGGGUCUAAUACCGAAUAUGACCAUGCACUUCCUGGUGUGUGGUGGAAAGCUUUUGCGGUGUGGGAUGGGCCCGCGGCCUAUCAGCUUGUUGGUGGGGUAAUGGCCUACCAAGGCGACGACGGGUAGCCGGCCUGAGAGGGUGACCGGCCACACUGGAACUGAGAUACGGCCCAGACUCCUACGGGAGGCAGCAGUGGGGAAUAUUGCACAAUGGGCGCAAGCCUGAUGCAGCGACGCCGCGUGAGGGAUGACGGCCUUCGGGUUGUAAACCUCUUUCAGCACAGACGAAGCGCAAGUGACGGUAUGUGCAGAAGAAGGACCGGCCAACUACGUGCCAGCAGCCGCGGUAAUACGUAGGGUCCGAGCGUUGUCCGGAAUUACUGGGCGUAAAGAGCUCGUAGGUGGUUUGUCGCGUUGUUCGUGAAAACUCACAGCUUAACUGUGGGCGUGCGGGCGAUACGGGCAGACUUGAGUACUGCAGGGGAGACUGGAAUUCCUGGUGUAGCGGUGGAAUGCGCAGAUAUCAGGAGGAACACCGGUGGCGAAGGCGGGUCUCUGGGCAGUAACUGACGCUGAGGAGCGAAAGCGUGGGGAGCGAACAGGAUUAGAUACCCUGGUAGUCC